rfam:Danio rerio chromosome 4, GRCz11 reference primary assembly.
GGCGCUGUUGCUUAGUUGGUCAAUGCUCCUGCCUAGUAAACAGGAGAUCCUGGGUUCAAAUCCCAGCAGUGCCU